rnacentral:rRNA from 1 species
UACGUAGGAUGCAAGCGUUGUCCGGAAUUAUUGGGCGUAAAGAGCGCGCAGGCGGUAUGACAAGUCAGAUGUGAAAGAGGCCGGCUUAACCGGCAAGGGUCAUUUGAAACUGUCAGACUAGAGUGCAGCAGAGGAUAGUGGAAUUCCCGGUGUAGUGGUGAAAUGCGUAGAUAUCGGGAGGAACACCGGUGGCGAAGGCGGGUCUCUGGGCCGUAACUGACGCUGAGGAGCGAAAGCGUGGGGAGCGAACAGG